rnacentral:misc_RNA from 1 species
GAUGAAGAACGUAGCGAAAUGCGAUACGUAGUGUGAAUUGCAGAAUUCAGUGAAUCAUCGAAUCUUUGAACGCACAUUGCGCCCCUUGGUAUUCCAUGGGGCAUGCCUGUUCGAGCGUCAUUUGUACCUUCAAGCUUUGCUUGGUGUUGGGUGUUUGUCUCGCCUUUGCGUGUAGACUCGCCUUAAAAUAAUUGGCAGCCGGCGUAUUGAUUUCGGAGCGCAGUACAUCUCGCGCUUUGCACUCAUAACGACAGCGUCCAAAAGUACAUUUUACACUCUUGACCUCGGAUCAGGUAGGGAUACCCGCUGAACUUAAGCAUAUCAAUAAGCGGAGGA